rnacentral:rRNA from 1 species
GGCGUAAGCGCACGCAGGCGGUUUGUUAAGUCAGAUGUGAAAUCCCCGGGCUCAACCUGGGAACUGCAUCUGAUACUGGCAAGCUUGAGUCUCGUAGAGGGGGGUAGAAUUCCAGGUGUAGCGGUGAAAUGCGUAGAGAUCUGGAGGAAUACCGGUGGCGAAGGCGGCCCCCUGGACGAAGACUGACGCUCAGGUGCGAAAGCGUGGGGAGCAAACAGGAUUAGAUACCCUGGUAGUCCACGCCGUAAACGAUGUCGACUUGGAGGUUGUGCCCUUGAGGCGUGGCUUCCGGAGCUAACGCGUUAAGUCGACCGCCUGGGGAGUACGGCCGCAAGGUUAAAACUCAAAUGAAUUG